CCUACGGGGGGCAGCAGUGGGGAAUAUUGCACAAUGGGGGAAACCCUGAUGCAGCGACGCCGCGUGAGUGAAGAAGUAAUUCGUUACGUAAAGCUCUAUCAGCAGGGAAGAAACACUGACCUUACGGUCAGCAGACGGUACCUGAGUAAGAAGCCCCGGCUAACUACGUGCCAGCAGCCGCGGUAAUACGUAGGGGGCAAGCGUUAUCCGGAUUUACUGGGUGUAAAGGGAGCGUAGACGGUGCGCCAAGUCUGGAGUGAAAUGCCGCAGCUUAACUGCGGAACUGCUUUGGAAACUGGCGAACUAGAGUGCGGGAGGGGUAAGCGGAAUUCCUAGGGUAGCGGUGAAAUGCGUAGAUAUUAGGAGGAACACCAGUGGCGAAGGCGGCUUACUGGACAGUAACUGACGUUGAGGCUCGAAAGCGUGGGGAGCAAACAGGAUUAGAUACCCUAGUAGUC
rnacentral:rRNA from 1 species